CACGUAGGGCGCAAGCGUUGUCCGGAAUUAUUGGGCGUAAAGAGCUCGUAGGCGGUUUGUCGCGUCGAAUGUGAAAACCCGGGGCUCAACUCCGGGCCUGCAUUCGAUACGGGCAGACUAGAGUUCGGUAGGGGAGUCUGGAAUUCCUGGUGUAGCGGUGAAAUGCGCAGAUAUCAGGAGGAACACCGGUGGCGAAGGCGGGACUCUGGGCCGAUACUGACGCUGAGGAGCGAAAGCGUGGGGAGCAAACAGG
rnacentral:rRNA from 1 species